rnacentral:rRNA from 1 species
AGAGUUUGAUCCUGGCUCAGAACGAACGCUGGCGGCAGGCCUGAGGUAUGCAAGUUGAACGAGAAAGCUCUUUCGGGAGCAGGUAAAGUAGCGCACGGGUGAGUAAUGUAUGGGAAACUACUUUUUGGUGGGGGAUAGCUAUUGGAAACGAUAGGUAAUACCGCAUAAGCCUCUUCGGAGGGAAAGAUUUAUUGCCGAAAAAUGUGCCCAUAUUGGAUUAGCUUGUUGGUGGGGUAAUGGCCUACCAAGGCGAUGAUCUAUAGCUGGUUUGAGAGGAUGAUCAGCCACACUGGGACUGAGACACGGCCCAGACUCCUACGGGAGGCAGCAACUAGGAAUAUUGGACAAUGGGGGAAACCCUGAUCCAGCCAUGUCGCGUGAGUGAAGAAGGUUUUCGGAUUGUAAAGCUCUUUCAGUAGUGAAGAUGAUGACGGUAACUACAGAAGAAGCUCCGGCUAACUUCGUGCCAGCAGCCGCGGUAAUACGAAGGGGGCUAGCGUUGUUCGGAUUUACUGGGCGUAAAGCGUAUGUAGGUUGUUUAUUAAGUUAGAGGUGAAAGCCCAAAGCUCAACUUUGGAAUUGCCUUUAAUACUGGUAAGCUAGAGUUUGAUAGAGGAUAGUAGAAUUUCCAGUGUAGAGGUGAAAUUCGUAGAUACUGGAAGGAAUACCGAUGGCGAAGGCAGCUAUCUGGAGCAAUACUGACGCUGAGAUACGAAAGUGUGGGUAGCAAACAGGAUUAGAUACCCUGGUAGUCCACACCCUAAACGAUGAGUGCUAAUUGUUGGAAAUUUUGUUUUCAGUGAUACAGCUAACGCGUUAAGCAUUCCGCCUGGGGAGUACGGCCGCAAGGUUAAAACUUAAAGGAAUUGACGGGGACCCGCACAAGCGGUGGAGCAUGCUGUUUAAUUCGAUUUACGCGAAAAACCUUACCGACUCUUGAAUCCUGAUCGUUAUGCAUAGAGAUAUGCAUUUUCAGUUUGGCUGGAUCAGUGACAGAUGUUGCAUGGUUGUCGUCAGCUCGUGUCGUGAGAUGUUGGGUUAAGUCCCGCAACGAGCGCAACCCUCGCUAUUAUUUGCCAACACGUUAUGGUGGGAACUAUAAUAGAACUGCCGAUGAUAAAUCGGAGGAAGGUGAGGACGACGUCAAAUCAGCAUGACUCUUACGGGUCGGGCUACAAGCGUGCUACAAUGGUAAUUAUAAUGAGUUUUGCGAGUCUGUGAAGAUUAGCUAAU